AGUGAACGCUGGCGGUAGGCCUAACACAUGCAAGUCGAACGGCAGCACAGUAAGAGCUUGCUCUUACGGGUGGCGAGUGGCGGACGGGUGAGGAAUACAUCGGAAUCUACUUUUUCGUGGGGGAUAACGUAGGGGAACUUACGCUAAUACCGCAUACGACCUACGGGUGAAAGCAGGGGAUCUUCGGACCUUGCGCGAUUGAAUGAGCCGAUGUCGGAUUAGCUAGUUGGCGGGGUAAAGGCCCACCAAGGCGACGAUCCGUAGCUGGUCUGAGAGGAUGAUCAGCCACACUGGAACUGAGACACGGUCCAGACUCCUACGGGAGGCAGCAGUGGGGAAUAUUGGACAAUGGGCGCAAGCCUGAUCCAGCCAUACCGCGUGGGUGAAGAAGGCCUUCGGGUUGUAAAGCCCUUUUGUUGGGAAAGAAAAGCAGUAGGUUAAUACCCCGCUGUUCUGACGGUACCCAAAGAAUAAGCACCGGCUAACUUCGUG
rnacentral:rRNA from 1 species